GGGAAUGGAAUUAGUAUGAGACAAUGAAAAAAUGGAAACAAAGUCUUUAAUGCCAACUCUUAAGACACUUCUUUGGACAGCUCUAAAAUGUAUUUUGUAUACUGUCAUCAGAGCCUUACAAACGUGCAUGCUCGCUCCUUCAGUGCCUCAAGACAAGAACAGGUAAACCAGGAUGUGGCCGAGUCUGACCUAAACUAAGGAAACUGUUGGAAAAUUAUCUAAACUUUAGCAAGAUUGGAAUUAGACUUCGGAAUCUCAGAGGAGGCCUCUGUGUUUCUCAGCCAUCGCUGCACAUUGGAAUCACCUGGGGAAUUUUAUGACACCUGGGUCAGGACCCAAGGGCUCAUGGGUAAUUGACCUGGGACGUGGCCCCACACCGGCUGGGACCCAAGUGACUCCACCGUACCCUGAGCUGAGGACGUCUGCAACAGAGGUUCUCAAGCACGACAGUCAGUUUCUUCAAAUAAAUUUACAAAGAGAGAGGAAGGAGAAAUCUUUUUACCAUCAACGUUGGAUGAAAACUAUGUUGAAUAUGAACGAGGAAAUCACUCUAGAAAACAUUAUUUGACCCCGAGACUCGUUGUUUCAAGUGGCAAAAAAUACACAGGGAAUGCUUUUAAGGUAAUUAACAAAGUCUUCUGCAGGAACACUGCAGAGACCUGAGAUUGGAAGGAAUUUAAAUUGGCUUCUUAAAGUAGAUUUUCGG
rnacentral:lncRNA from 1 species